AUGAUGGAUAGGCCAAGUUCUUCUACCAACCCACUCUUCAUCGAGCAAGACGACGACUUGUCAUCCUAUGUCACCAAGAGCCACCUCUUCGGUGCACAACGAGCUUUACAUCAAAAACAACAAGCACUGAGCGACCGCAUCAACAAUCUCGCCACCGACUUGCGACUCUCCGAGCAACGAACAAGAGACUACUUCGACAACAAGCUCGACGCUCACAAACAAGAGAACGAUGAAAGAAUGGACGAGAUUCAUGCCUUGUUGGUGAACCGCCAUUCUACCACUUCGUCCUACUCAGGACGGAGCCGUUCGAGUCGACACUCCGACGACACCCUCUCCGGCUCAAGUACACCGACAUCGAACACUCUACGUCGAGCCACGCGCCAAGACCGUCAAGCAACUCGCAAUCCCCUACACGGCAAUCAUCCACAAGAGCAAUUCGACGAGCAAGCACAUCAUCUACGUCAAUGUCUCCAAGAGGAAGAGCGAGCGCGACAACAUCAAGACAAACAAGACGCCGAGGCUCAACGCCUUCAACAACAACAACGUGAAGCACAAGCACUUGAGGCGCAACGUGCCCUUCAAGAAUCAAGUCGAGCCAUUGCCAACCGCAACCGAGAUAGGCGCAAUCAAGAGGAAGCACUUCGCGAAGAAAUCCAAGAGCGAAACUACCAAGCAAGAGUGCAUCGUCAAGUUCCUCAAGCUCCUCCACAAGCUCGACAAGCUCCUCCACAACCUCAAGUUCAUCAAGAGCAUGAUGACUUUGGAAAUCCUCCACGCCAAGAGCAAUAUGAGGUUGACAACCCUCCACGUCAAGGGCGUCAUCAUCACCCUCGACCCAAUCACAAUGAAGAGCAACGCUACGGCAAACUAAAGUUCACCAUGCCCAAGUUCCAUGGAAGCAAUGAUCCCGAAGAGUACCUUUCAUGGGCAUUGAAGGUCGACAAGAUCUUUCGUUUGCACAACUAUGAGGAACAGAAGAAGAUCGCUAUGGCAUCCCUUGAGUUCCAAGACUAUGUGCUCAGAUGGUGGGAACAAGUCCUCGAGCGCCGAGAAGCACGAGGUGAACCACCAAUCACCACUUGGGAUCAAAUGAAGGAUGUCAUGCGCGCACGUUGUGUGCCAACAUACUACAACCGCGAGCUCUUCAAGAAACUCCAACUCCUCAAGCAAGGAACAAAGAGCGUUGAAGAAUACUACAAGGAAAUGGAGAUUGCCAUGAUAAGAGCCAAUGUCACGGAAGAUGAUGAGCAAACUAUGGCCCGUUUCUUGAAUGGCCUCAAUCAUCCCAUCAAGAAGAUUGCCGACUUCCAACCCUACUCCAACCUCAUUGAGCUCGUGCAUCAAGCUACUAAAGCGGAACGCCAAGUGCAAGAUGACUUCAAGUACGCCAAGUACUCUUCGAAGAGCUAUGGCUUCUCCAACACCCAAGCUUCAACGACUCCAACAACUCCUACCUCAACCAAACCAACUACAUGCAACGGCGACAAGUCAAGUUACAAGAAAACUUCGACAACCUCAAGUCGUCCUCCUACUACAAGCAACUUCAAGCCGCGCGCUUCAUCAUCUACUCCAACCGAUGAGACCGUCAAAACAAGUUCCAUCAAGUGUUUCACAUGCGGCGGACGAGGCCACAAGUCCUUUGAGUGUACCAACAAGCGCACCAUGAUCCUCAACGACGACGGAACCUAUGACUCCAUGAGUGAAGAGCAGAUGGAAGCCCUUGAGCAAGUGGCCAUGCACCGGCGCGUGAACAAAGAUGAAGAUGAUCAAGUCUUUUGUGAUGAGGAUCCGAGCCCCGCUCUCGUUGUCUCCAAAGUCUUGACUCUUCAACAUCAACAAGACGAAGACCAAAGAUGCCAUAUCUUCCACACCAAGGCCGACAUCAAUGAAAGGCCCGUCAAGGUCAUCAUCGAUGGAGGGAGCUGUCACAACUUGGCAAGUGAAGAACUAUGCUCCAAGCUCCAAUUGGUCAAGAUGAAGCACCCGCACCCUUACAAGGUUCAAUGGCUAAGCGAUUCCGACACUAUCCAAGUCGAGCAUACGGUCAAAGUCUCCUUCAAAAUCGGAGCAUAUGAAGACAUUUUGGAGUGUGAUGUCGUCCCGAUGUCCGUUUGCCACCUCCUUCUUGGUCGACCAUGGCAAUUUGACCGCGGCGUCAUCCACAACGGGCAUACCAAUCACUAUAGCUUCAAGAUGAAAGGAAAGGAGUACGUGCUACGACCUAUGUCUCCAAGUCAAGUGAUCGCCGACAAGCAAGCCAUCCAUCGUGGAGAAAAGAGUGAGAGAGUGAUCUAUCCGAAAGAGAGUGAGCGCCACAAGCCAAAAUCGAGUGCCUCCACGAUGAGCGACAAGAAAAAUUUAGUCCUAUUUGCCACCAAAAGUGAGAUGAGUGAAGUGUAUGAGAACCCAUCAAGUGUUAUGCGCUAUGUCCUUGUGUGCAAGGACAAGGAACCAAAAGCUAACACCUCUCAUGCUCUACCUUUAGUGUUGUCUUCUCUUUUGCAGGAAUUCCAAGAUGUUUUCCCCGACGAGCUACCUCCGGGUCUACCUCCACUACGAGGCAUUGAGCACUGA
rnacentral:rRNA from 1 species